GACAGAGGGGGCAAGCGUUGCUCGGAAUCACUGGGCGUAAAGGGCGCGUAGGCGGUCGUGACAAGUCACUUGUGAAAUCUCCGGGCUUAACUCGGAACGGUCAAGUGAUACUGUCGGACUAGAGUGCAGAAGGGGCAACUGGAAUUCUCGGUGUAGCGGUGAAAUGCGUAGAUAUCGAGAGGAACACCUGCGGCGAAGGCGGGUUGCUGGGCUGACACUGACGCUGAGGCGCGAAAGCCAGGGGAGCGAACGGG
rnacentral:rRNA from 1 species